GACGUAGGAGGCGAGCGUUGUCCGGAUUCAUUGGGCGUAAAGAGCACGCAGGCGGUUUGGCAAGUCGGGUGUGAAAACCCGAAGCUCAACUUCGGGCCUGCAUCCGAAACUGCCCGACUAGAGGUAUUCAGGGGAGAACGGAAUUCCUGGUGUAGCGGUGAAAUGCGUAGAUAUCUGGAGGAACACCGGUGGCGAAGGCGGCAUCCUGGACCGACACUGACGCUGAGGAGCGAAAGCCAGGGGAGCAAACGGG
rnacentral:rRNA from 1 species